GACGAACGCUGGCGGCGUGCUUAACACAUGCAAGUCGAACGGACAGGCCCUGCUUUUGUGGGGUGCUCGAGUGGCGAACGGGUGAGUAACACGUGAGUAACAUGCCCUUGACUUUGGGAUAACUUCAGGAAACUGGGGCUCAUACCGGAUAGGAGCUCCUGCUGCAUGGUGGGGGUUGGUAAGUGUCGGCGGUUGUGGAUGGACUCGCGGCUUAUCAGCUUGUUGGUGGGGUAGGGGCUUACCAAGGCUUUGAAGGGUAGCCGGCCUGAGAGGGUGACCGGCCACAUGGGGCCUGCGAUACGGCCCAGACGCCUACGGGAGGCAGAAGUGGGGAAUAUUGCACAAUGGGCGGAAGCCUGAUGCAGCAACGCCGCGUGCGGGAUGACGUCCUUCGGGUUGUAAACCGCUUUCGCCUGUGACGAAGCGUGAGUGACGGUAAUGGGUAAAGAAGCACCGGCUAACUACGUG
rnacentral:rRNA from 1 species